rnacentral:rRNA from 1 species
ACUCCUACGGGAGGCAGCAGUGGGGAAUAUUGCACAAUGGGCGAAAGCCUGAUGCAGCGACGCCGCGUGAGGGACGACGGCCUUCGGGUUGUAAACCUCUUUCAGUAGGGAACAAGGCAUCAUUUUUGUGGUGUUGAGGGUACUUGCAGAAGAAGCACCGGCUAACUACGUGCCAGCAGCCGCGGUAAUACGUAGGGUGCAAGCGUUAUCCGGAAUUAUUGGGCGUAAAGAGCUCGUAGGCGGUUUGUCGCGUCUGUCGUGAAAGUCCGGGGCUCAACUCCGGAUCUGCGGUGGGUACGGGCAGACUAGAGUGAUGUAGGGGAGACUGGAAUUCCUGGUGUAGCGGUGGAAUGCGCAGAUAUCAGGAGGAACACCGAUGGCGAAGGCAGGUCUCUGGGCAUUAACUGACGCUGAGGAGCGAAAGCAUGGGGAGCGAACAGGAUUAGAUACCCUGGUAGGAUAGC